rnacentral:rRNA from 1 species
CAUGCAAGUCGAACGAGCGAGAGAGAGCUUGCUUUCUCAAGCGAGUGGCGAACGGGUGAGUAACGCGUGAGGAACCUGCCUCAAAGAGGGGGACAACAGUUGGAAACGACUGCUAAUACCGCAUAAGCCCACGGCUCGGCAUCGAGCAGAGGGAAAAGGAGCAAUCCGCUUUGAGAUGGCCUCGCGUCCGAUUAGCUAGUUGGUGAGGUAACGGCCCACCAAGGCGACGAUCGGUAGCCGGACUGAGAGGUUGAACGGCCACAUUGGGACUGAGACACGGCCCAGACUCCUACGGGAGGCAGCAGUGGGGAAUAUUGCACAAUGGGGGAAACCCUGAUGCAGCGACGCCGCGUGGAGGAAGAAGGUCUUCGGAUUGUAAACUCCUGUUGUUGAGGAAGAUAAUGACGGUACUCAACAAGGAAGUGACGGCUAACUACGUGCCAGCAGCCGCGGUAAAACGUAGGUCACAAGCGUUGUCCGGAAUUACUGGGUGUAAAGGGAGCGCAGGCGGGGAGACAAGUUGGAAGUGAAAUCCAUGGGCUCAACCCAUGAACUGCUUUCAAAACUGUUUUUCUUGAGUAGUGCAGAGGUAGGCGGAAUUCCCGGUGUAGCGGUGGAAUGCGUAGAUAUCGGGAGGAACACCAGUGGCGAAGGCGGCCUACUGGGCACCAACUGACGCUGAGGCUCGAAAGUGUGGGUAGCAAACAGGAUUAGAUACCCUGGUAGUCCACACUGUAAACGAUGAUUACUAGGUGUUGGAGGAUUGACCCCUUCAGUGCCGCAGUUAACACAAUAAGUAAUCCACCUGGGGAGUACGACCGCA